GACGAACCGUGCGAACGUUGUUCGGAAUCACUGGGCUUAAAGGGCGCGUAGGCGGCAUGCCGAGCCCGAGGUGAAAUCCCCCGGCUCAACCGGGGAAGUGCCUUGGGGACCGGCGUGCUCGAGGGAGGUAGGGGUCGCGGGAACUUCGGGUGGAGCGGUGAAAUGCGUUGAUAUCCGAAGGAACGCCGGUGGCGAAAGCGCGCGACUGGGCCUCUUCUGACGCUGAGGCGCGAAAGCCAGGGGAGCGAAC
rnacentral:rRNA from 1 species